UACGUAGGGUGCAAGCGUUGUCCGGAAUUCUUGGGCGUAAAGAGCUUGUAGGCGGUUUGUCGCGUCUGCUGUGAAAUUUCGGGGCUCAACCCCGAACUUGCAGUGGGUACGGGCAGGCUAGAGUGUGGUAGGGGAGACUGGAAUUCCUGGUGUAGCGGUGAAAUGCGCAGAUAUCAGGAGGAACACCGGUGGCGAAGGCGGGUCUCUGGGCAACAACUGACGCUGAGGAGCGAAAGCGUGGGGAGCGAACAGG
rnacentral:rRNA from 1 species